GAUGAACGCUGGCGGCGUGCCUAAUACAUGCCGGUCGAGCGAACAGACGAGGAGCUUGCUCCUCUGACGUUAGCGGCGGACGGGUGAGUAACACGUGGAUAACCUACCUAUAAGACUGGGAUAACUUCGGGAAACCGGAGCUAAUACCGGAUAACAUGUUGAACCGCAUGGUUCAACAGUGAAAGACGGUCUUGCUGUCGCUUAUAGAUGGAUCCGCGCCACAUUAGCUAGUUGGUAAGGUAACGGCUUACCAAGGCAACGAUGCGUAGCCGACCUGAGAGGGUGAUCGGCCACACUGGAACUGAGACACGGUCCAGACUCCUACGGGAGGCAGCAGUAGGGAAUCUUCCGCAAUGGGCGAAAGCCUGACGGAGCAACGCCGCGUGAGUGAAGAAGGUCUUCGGAUCGUAAAACUCUGUUAUUAGGGAAGAACAAAUGUGUAAGUAACUAUGCACGUCUUGACGGUACCUAAUCAGAAAGCCACGGCUAACUACGUG
rnacentral:rRNA from 1 species